rnacentral:rRNA from 1 species
CCAGACUCCUACGGGAGGCAGCAGUGGGGAAUCUUCCGCAAUGGGCGAAAGCCUGACGGAGCAACGCCGCGUGAUCGAAUGAAGGCCUUCGGGUUGUAAAGAUCUGUUGAUAGGGACGAAUAAGCAAUGCGAAUAGUUUUGUGUAUGACGGUACCUGUUUAGAAAGCUCCGGCUAACUACGUGCCAGCAGCCGCGGUAAUACGUAGGGAGCAAGCGUUGUCCGGAAUUACUGGGCGUAAAGGGCGCGUAGGUGGGCGCUUAAGUCAGGUGUGAAAACUCCGGGCUCAACCUGGAGACUGCACUUGAAACUGGGUGUCUUGAGGGCAGGAGAGGAAAGUGGAAUUCCUAGUGUAGCGGUGAAAUGCGUAGAUAUUAGGAGGAACAUCGGUGGCGUAAGCGCUUUACUGGGCCGUAAUUGACACUGAGGAACGAAAGCCGGGGUAGCAAAUGGGAUUAGAUACCCUCGUA